rnacentral:tRNA from 1 species
GGAGGGAUGGGCUUGUGGGUAAGGCACUAGACUGGGGCUCUACAGCCCUGGUUUCAAUUCCCAGUUCUGCUG